GUUUUUAUGGUGUCCACAGCACAUUAAGUUUUCAUCUUAAAAGUAUAAAUUAAAUUUAUUAAAAAUC
rnacentral:tRNA from 1 species